CUGUGCAUGGGGGGGGGUUUCUCUUUUUUUUUGGAUUUUUUUUUUGUUUUUUUUUUUUUUAAGUCGCUCUUUAGCGUUGCGAGAGGAACAAUAAAAUGAAAGGCAAAACCGGCAUCUUAAAACUUGGCAAGUGAAAGCAGCUUGGACUGGCAGCCAAGAAUCCUGCUGUGGUGCAAAAAGAAUAGCAUCCACGGAGCCACCACAACCCAGGGCUUCUCCUCUUUUCACAAUCGCGUCGGCACAGAGAAAUAAUUACUCCUUGUGUCAGUGUUAAAAGAGUCAACAAGCUUAAAAAAGCUUGGUGAACCUCCUCCAAAGCAGAAUACGUUCCCGAGGAGUUGGGCCUAGCAAUAUGGCAGCGCACGUUCCAUAGGAAAUCCUGCAGAAUGCUGCUGAGCUCUGUUCCCAAGGAGGGCACAAUCCCUGUGCUCCCUGCCCCGCUCCAGCCUCCACCACUGCAGGGACAGAGCUUCCUCCACCCCAAAAUUCCAACAGGAAAGCCACCCAGGAUUUUCAAAGAUGCUGCAGCACGAGUUUUGGCUUUUAAGAUGCUUUUAAGGUGAGUGUCAGCAUAGGAAUCUAAAGUUGGAGGAUGAAUUUAGAUAACCUUUGGGCAGAUGGUGGAAGUUUAACAUCUAUAACAGGAGUUUCUUGCCACCCAGCAAUUCCAAAUAAAGGAAAAUUGUAUUUUAUAAUUGCA
rnacentral:lncRNA from 1 species